ensembl:lncRNA
AAGAGGGACGGAUUCAUAAAGGGUGAAGACAUCUGGAAACAAACACUCAAGAGGAAGACAAAGCCAAACAGUAGGUGGAUGAAGGAUGUGGACGAGGAGGAUGAAAGGCCAACAAAAAAGCAAAAAGGAAGUCUGUACCCCAAAAGAUGCAGCAAACCAAAUGAUUGAAGGCCUGAAGAAGGAGCUGAUGGCAAAGCAAGCAUCUUUAGAGUCAACUACCGAAAAGGAAGAGUCAUCAGAUGAGGACCUACUGCCCAGAAACUGGAGUAAGGCGCAGCUGCAAAUAAAGGAACUUAAAAUAGAGAACAAGAGACUGAAAGAAAACAAUGUUGAAGAGAUACUAGAAGCCAUGAGAGUGCCACCUUCAGGCCAGAAUGUUCCAACCCUG